GGGUUGAUGAGAGGGGUUAAAGGAAAGUAGAAGACAGAGGAAUACUGGUUGGAAUGGGACUGGCUGAUAGCAUUAGGGAGUAAGAAUAGAAAACUGGAAAGGAAAGUGAAACACAAAGAUGCUAAGGCACUUGCACCUGCACUGUGUUGUGUUAUCGGAAGAUUCCCCGGCCUUGAUACAGACACUGUGUUCAACUAUAUGAUGCAUUUAUGUAUUCACUGAAAGUAUAUCCUGUUUAUCACUACAAAGAGGGUUGAGCAACAGUGAAAGAUUGACAUUUAACAGCUGAGGUGUAACAGUUACAUUUCCAAAACAUCUCUUAUGUUCAUUAUCUGGCUUUAUCUGCUCUGUCCAUCUGCGCCUUGAGUCAUCUGAGCCUCACCUCGCACAGGUGUGUGUGAGAGAGAGCAUUCUGUAACGAUAUCAGCAAGCACUUGAUUAGAGCUCAGCACAGGAAAGUGUUGUGCAACAUUUGGGCUUUCAGGUGGUGAUGUGCUGAUGUGUCACCAAUCUGAGGCAAGAGGACAGAAUCAGGACACACGCACGCACACAGUUUGCUUUGCAGCAUGCACAGACCAUGUUUUCUGCGCAUGCCACAGAUAGCUCAUUUCUGCCAGCAGUGCAGAUUGAAUCUUGUUGUGUUCAGUUUUCGGGAUAAGAGCCAACGUGACAAGGUGGCACCAUGGCGGUAUCAUCUGUUUCUAUAUAUGUUUCUGUUAAAGAUGUGAAGGAAACGGGUAGAUGGAGGGAGAAAAAAAGAGAAGGGAGGAGAGAUGGUGCUGGCUGCAGCAGGAGGAAGCUGGGUCUGAUGCUUCUCCAUGCAGCUGCUCCCAAACACCCACACUCUUCCUGUUGGAGUAUGUGUGUUUGUGUAUGUGUGUUAAAUUUUGAGUAUAGAGUGUCUUACUUCCACAUAGGGAAAGGAAGAACCUGUACUGUUGCAACACACAAAUCUUAAAACUUUUUACUCACUUAGUGCUGAUUUAAUUAUUUUAUGUUAUUGCAUUAUAUUGAAUAUAUGUAAUAAUAUUGAAGUGCGUGCCAUACUAUGCUAAGUGGUGAAAAGUGGAUUUCCAAAGAGGCAAAAAAAGAUACAAUUUUAAACAUUGCGCUGGACAGAUCAAUCACAUACGAUCAAACAGAAAACUGGCUUAGAACAAAAAGAGUUCAGUGGUGUAGCUUGAAAACUCUUGAGAAGUACAACUUCAGGUAUCCUACAGAAGUCACAGUCUAAAAUAGCUGAAGUAGGUUUCUCCUGCCUGGCUGAGGCCCUCUGUGUCUUUUCAAAGAAACACUGGCCUCAAAAAACAUCCGCUGGUGGAAACACAGGCCUGACAGUCAGUGAAUGGAAAGGUUUGAGGUAAGAAUGUGGCCACACUGAGGUGUCAGCAGGGUGUGCGAUUGCGUACCUGUGACUGUGUGUACUUGCAUUUAUAUGCAUGUUUGAGGCGGUCUUAAGUUUCCAUCACAGUGAAAUGCUGCCACGUUGCUGUUGUAACUGACUGGUUGGUUUGCUUCACCUUUGUAUCUGUUCAGGUUGACCUCUGACAUGCUUGUUCUCUACAGAUAGUCAGUUUGUGCCAUGUAUAAGCAUUCACCUUCAACUUCUGCUUCUGUUUAAAAUGUGAGAAAGUAAUGAAAAAUGAAGCAGUUCCAUAGAAGAAAUAUAUCAACAAUAUGACGCAGGCUUGAGUAAACGCAAAAUAUAAUCAAAUGUGUUGUUAAUGACAUUACAUUUUGCUCAUGUAAUGUAAUAAUAUCAAGCAAUUACCAACUAAAGCCAGUUUUAACUGCAUUUGCUUGAUCAGUGAUGUAAUUUCUAAGUGAACAGGCCAACUGCAAACUAAUUAAUGGCUGAAAGAGGAGAGUUUGCUUUACAGUCAAAUCAACAUAAAGUCAACAAAUUUAACAGAACUAAACUAAACACACAUUUGUCAUUAGGAUAACACUGUCAGCUCAGCUGUUACUGUGUAUCCAGAUAUGUAGACCAUAGCCAGCGUGUCAACUGAUAGCGUGUCACAUGUUGCCCGACAAUUGAGAUAUCACAUUGGAUUGGGAUACUGUAAUGACUGGAGGUUCCUCUUUUGUAUUGUUCUGUUCUGUGGCAGGAUACAGUACAUCUGCUUCACACUCCAUAAUGAUGGGGGAACAGCACGUGUUCAGCACCAAAACUGUGUGAUGGACUAUUACAUUACAGUGGUGCCAGUUCAAAGUGGAUUGCUAUUAUUGAAGGAAAUUAGAGUUUUUGGCAAAUUACAGAACAGGAUUUCCUCCAAAAUCUUUGGGGUGAUUUUUUUUAUUUUAUUUUAAGUUGCACAUUUUGUUGGUAAUUCCUGAUGUUGAAAGUGACCCGAUCCCAAAAGGACGUAAAAGUUUGAAAUAAAUGUCAAAUGUAUUUCAACUUAAGUAUAUUUACUUACUGUUCAUUGUUGUCAGUGCUGUAAGUUGUCAAAAAUAGAGCUGAAAAAAAUUGUCAAUUAGUUGAUCAGAAGAAAAGAGUACAGAAGAGUUUGAUGCUGUCUUUGUGAUGUGAGCUAAAUAUUUUGGGUUUUUAUGUCUCCUGGUCAGACUAACAAGGAGGUUGAAGAAGUCACUUUGGGCUUUAGAAAAUUAUGAUUGACAUUUUAUAGGCAAAACAAUUAAUCAAGAAAAUAAUUGUCAGCUUAACUGAUUAUAAAAAUGAUGAUGAGUUGUAGCCCUAGUUAAAUAUUAGACAUAUUUUUUUUUAUUAUGUUACAUGGCGGUGUACAUUUCAUGUCACUGUAUUAUUGCUGUUUCUUGAAAGAAUUAAGUACUUCUGUACUGGCCAACUUCCCCAAGAUUCAGAUGUCAGAGGAAUACUUCAUUUUGAGAGAUGUACAGUAUAUUUUGUGUAACGAUGUUUAAGAAGAACGAACAUCUGUGAUGGCUACCAACACAUUCUGAUUCACCACCCAUUCUCUGAAAUCUCACAUUAACAUAACCUCUGAUGACAAAUACGUCCUCUUCCUCUCCAGCCUCCUCUUCUCCUCUUCUACUUUUACUUAUCUGUCUUUGUCUUGCUCACCGCUUCUCCGUCUGUCACACUCUUUCCCCCUUCUUCUCCUGGGGCCGUGUGAGAUGAGUACAAGACAGGGGAGAGUGUGAGCUGUGGUGAGCCACAGACCAAAAUAACUGGUACUUUUUUUAUAAAAACACAUGUGCAUCCACCCACACAUAAAGUCACACAUGUGUGCACAGUCACACACACUCACACAGACACACAGAGGUCCCUUUUACUUGAGGAUCCCUAGAGAGAGUUGUAGUUGGAUAUAUUUUGGCCGUGCCAGAGGAGAUUGUGUGUUGAUAUCCAGUGCUGGAAAUGGACCUAUACGGAGAGUGAAAUAGGCCAUGUGUGGGUGCUGUUUAUCAGUUAAGAAAUUCUAACUUUUGUCAACUGUCUGAACUCAAGUUGAAACUAGAACAUAAUGUUUCAGAGAUAAAGCAAUUGUUUCAUUCUUUCAGUUUCUACCUUUUUUCCCUACAAUCAGCUGCAAGAUACUUCUCUCCAUCUGUGUCUCACUUUCUCUCUCUGGUGACAGAUCCUGCAACCUCCCUAUCAAGCUGGCAUAGUGGCAUCAUUCUAAAACUGGUAUUAGGCAUUUCCUGCUGCGUCCGUUGGCGGGUGUGUGUGUGUGUGUGUGUGUGUGUGUGUGUGUGUGUGUGUGUGUGUGUGUGUGUGUGUGUGUGUGUGUGUGUGUGUGUGUGUGUGUCAGUGUGUGCGUGUGUGUGUCGGGGCGGAACGCACCUGGUCCGCGCAGCUGUGGGGAUCCUAGCAGGGGGGAGAGAGAGAGAUAGAGGAAGGAGAGAAAGAGAGAGGGAUGGGAGGAGGCGAAAAGGGGGCCCUGUGUGUGCUGUACUGGGGACCUGAUGAGUUCAAAUAGAAAGGAAAAAAAAAGGAAAAAUAGAGGGACGCGAUUUCUAGGCACAGUAGCUUAGAAGCGAGCAUGAGUUUACACUGUAUUCACAAUCUUUAAAGUUUGCUGGAACUUCCCUUUUAAAAGCAGUUUUUCUGUCUAUGACAAUCAGUCUGUGAAAGACCGAUUUGUAAGUUUCUGCAUCAGCCACAUGUGACAGGAAUCAGUGUGCUUGGUUUAUUUUCUCUGGUAAAGAUGUUAAUGUCAAAUGUUAUUAUUAAUUUGUCUCAAGACAGGAAAUAAAGUGCAUGUAAAACCACAAUAAAGUAUAUCUAAAGCUUCACCUGCACAAUGCUUCACCCAGUUGGUGGUUGUUUCAAAAUACCUCAUGUGAAAGUAAUUCUGUUGUGGUUUAAAUGCAGCCAAUUUACACAUUUCUGACAAUCAUCGUUUGUGUGCCCAGUUUCCAUCCGUCUAUUCCUGAGUCCCAAAUACAUAACUAUCAGUCUGUAGGAUGCAGUUCCUCUGAUCUUCUGCAGAGGGGGCAAGGAAUCUGGGAACAAAAGAAUGGAAGAGCAGUGAUUGAAAGAUUUCACAGUGCAGAUUUUUAAAUGUGAGCAAAUAGGGCAACGAUAAGAGGAAACCACGUAGGAACCCACACUAUGAGGAAAAAAAACAAAUGUGUCUAUCAGGCUUUUUCAUUCAAAGUGCACAGAGCUCCUCCAGGAUGUAACGAGAGCACAGAUGUGCUCAUAUGCACACACACUAUUUCACAGCUGGACGACCAAAGGGCAGUAAGCACUGCGAAGGUCAAAUGACCAGGUCAAAGGUCAAGCCACAGAGAACUCCAAUAGAAGGAAAGGGGAGCACGAGGGCAUCAAGCACACGAAAUUCUCACCCUCACACACAUUUAUUAAAAUCAUCAUCCAACACUGUUGCAACUCUUGAGCCUUUGCUCCAGAUGGACAAAGGAGGAAGAGAAUGUCAGUCUUUCUGCAGUUUGGCCUGAAGUUAAAGGCUGAACACACACACGCACGCACGCAUGCACACACAUGCACACACUGACUCUGAAACAGUAUGUCAGUCAGACUUGUGGUCAUUUGAUAAGAAGCCAAGCCGGACAACUUGGGUCAACAUCAAAGCAGCAACUGAGUAGAUCCAUUUCCAAUACGUUUCCCCUUGUUCUUUAGAGGAAAUCCAGAAUAGCUGCUUCUUAAUAAUAUUCAGGAGAUGUUGGGUCACAGCAGGUGAAAUGAAACAAGUCUUAAUUGCCUCGAAGUGACCGGGCUAAUGCAUGACACAUUGGUGUGCUGGAAGCACCAGCGAGGGGGUGGAAGGAGGGGACCGGGUGAGCGAACGCAGGACCUCGAAUGGAUGACAGAGAGCGGGGGUGAGGAGGAGGAGAGAUGCAGUAUGGGACAAGAG